ensembl:lncRNA
CACCCGGUACUGCCCCCUCGCUCUAAAUCUGCGCAUUCCCAGAGUACCUGAUUUUAAGAAUCGUCUGCUAGGCUGAUUGAAUGCAUAGGUUAACAGGUUUGUCCCUUAGAGAUUCUGAUUCAGUAUUUCUAGGUCGUGGCCUGGGAAUCCGUGAUUUUUACAUGUAUUCCCACGCCCUUCUUGAGCAACAAAUAUGAUCUGGGAAAUGUGGGAAGCAGUGGACUAGUCACAUUUUUUAAAUUCAAAAAUUGUGGGUUUUAUUUCCCCUUCUGAUUUUAGUAGAAAUACAUACUUAUUUUAGAAAAUUGAAAAAUAACAGAAAAUUGUGCUGUAAAAAAGUUCCCUGAUUUUGUGUGUGUGUGUAUUUCCUUCCGGAUAGUUGUUUUUUUUUUUUUUUUGACUUGCUUGGUCAGUUCUGUGUGACUCUUUGCAACACCCAUGGACUGUGGCUUGUCAGACUCCUCUCUCCAUGGAAUUUUCCAGGCAAGAAUACUGGAGUGGGUUGCUAUUUCCUUCUCCAGGGGAUCUUCCCCACUCAGGGAACAGAACUCUAAUUUCCCGUGUCCCCUGCUUUGGCAGGUGGAUUCUUUACUACUGAGCCACCUGGGAAGCCUAUAAUAAUAAUAAGUGAAUGUUGAGUAAUUGGAAUAUUACAGGCAUGAUACCAAGUACUUUAUAUACACUACUUCAUAAUCUAAAAAGCAGUUAUUAUCACUAUUUUGCAGAUCCAGAAAUGGAGGCACAGAGUUUGUUACCCUGAUCACCUAGCUAAAGGUGCAAGAGGAGGGGUUGAAGUCAGGUCUCCUGAAUCCAAAUCUUGGCGAUGUUUAAGCUAAGGUGUACUACAUUUUGCGAGCUAGCUGAUAUCAAAGCACAGAAUCUGAAUCAAAGAAAUUUGGAAGAAGAGAACUUUCUCAUCCAAGUGGCUGCCGGCACCCCACCCCAGCUGAAGCGCUCCCUUGUUCUCGCCUGCUCUGCCCCAGAUUCAUGGGCCGCGCUCUGGAUCGUUGGCAGUUUCCUCUGCACUGUCCUGACAACCUCCGGCCAUGAAACUGAAAAGCUAGUUAGCGAAUCUCGCUCCUACCGGCUUUGUCCUUGCCAGGGAUUCAACAGAGAAAUGUGGAAGAGGGAGCCUCCCCGCGCCUGCAGCAGGCUGAAAUGCCACCAGAAUGACAAUGGGCUGGGGUGUGGGAGGAGGGGAGCGUGUGCAGCGUGCCAGGAAUGAAUGAAUGAAUGAGAGGGAGUGAGAGAGAGCAAGAGAGAGCGAACUUGGGGCUUCAAAUUAAAAAAUUCCAGGGUCUCAACAGAGGUGCUGGUGUCUGUACUCUAAGGCUUGCUACCGAAUGCUGAGCUGGGCACUUUUCCCUAGGCGGGUGCCCUCUGGCCCUCUGCCAAGGUACAGAGCUUGGGGCUGCAGAGCGGGGAAGUAGGACUUUGGGGGCGGAAAUGGCUCCAAACUGGGGCAAGGCCUGGGAGGCCAGCCUACCCAGUCAGCUUACUGUCUGGCCAAACUCCCCCUCCCAUCCCCCUACCACCUCAAGGGUCUCCACUGAAUUUAGACAUUAGUACUCACGCCACAUACCCUCCCCACCCCACUAGAGGAAUUUUAAGAAAUCCACAAAAACCAGAGGAAUUUUGAUUACCCUUAAUUAAGGAAAAGCUUUCCAGAAGACCACGUGAUGGGUGACUCCCUGUGACAUGGGUGUCCCGCAGCUGCAGGAGGGUGGGGCAGCCUGGUGGCUCUGUGUCCUCUGCCCUGGGCCCUGGCACUCACACAGAGCAAGGUCCUGGUGGAUGUUUGUAGGAAUGGCUUCGUUCAAGAGCUCUUGUUCCUGCCUCAUCCCCUCCCUAGACUUGGGGACUGACGUAGGGGUGUGUGGGGAAGCGGGAGAGUGAGGUGUCUGAGCAGUGGGCCUCCAGGGCCAGGCUGAGUGGGGUCUCUGACUUGAUAGCCAAGAGACCUUGAGCCAGUUGCUUAACAUCCUCAAGUGUGUCUCCUUAUCCCUGAUGUGGGAAUCACCAUGGUGACCAUGCACAGGGAGGCUGUGAAUUAAACAAAGACCUCCAUGUCUGCUUGCCGGGUAGUCAGCGUUCAAUAAAAAUAACUAGGCAUAAACCCAGAGCCCAUCCUGACAUAGGGAGACUCUUCUCAAGAGCUUCCACCUCAUCAUCUACAGAUCCUGGGACUGGUCUUGUUACUGGACUGGCCUGGCAUUGCGGGACCUUGGGAAGCUGGGCAGGUCCUUUGUGUUUUAACUGAGCAUGUGCAUUCACUCAGUCAGCCUCUCUGUUCUUGUUCAGUUGCUCAGUCGUGUCCGACUCUUUGCGACUCCAUCAACUGCAGCACGCCAGGCAUCUCUGUCCUUCACUGUCUCCCUGAGUUUGCUCAAACUCAUGUCCAUUGAGUCGGUGAUGCCAUCCACCCAUCUCGUCCUUUGUCAUCCCCUCCUGCCUUCAGCCUUUCCCAGCAUCUCAUUUGUUCGCAGAGACUGUUUCCCUGUCUCUCAUCUGUUCACGCAAGUAUUUAUCGAGUGCCUUCCACACGCCGUCUUGUGCUGGGGUUUGAGCUAAAAGAGCAAGUGAAAGGGCCCCUGAUCUCAGUUCUUGAAGCUCACAAGCCAGCAAGAAACAAACAACAUCAAAGUCAGAAUCAUCUGCGGCCCAGAUCAGUAGGUGAUCAGGGAAGGCUUCUCUUGGGGGCAAUGUUUGAGCCUAGAUCUAAAUAGCAAGAAAGAGCAGCCACCUCCUGAGGGAAGGGCAACCUGGGAAGGAAGCAGUAGUUUGGAGGCUUGGAGGUGGGCCAGGACUGGUUAGGGGUGCUUGUGGCUGAGGCUGAUGGAGGUGGGACAAGACUGGUUAGGGGGCGCUUGUGGCUGAGGCUGAUGGAGCACCAGGACUGCGGCGGGAAGGAGCAGAUGCGUUCUGGGAAGCCACGAGAGAGCCUAUUUCAUAGGAAGGCAGCCUGGAGGACUGGGGUUGGGCCCAGAGUCCAGCAUGUGGUAGGAGCGGGGUGCUUCUGCCAGUGCCUCCGGCCCCGCUUUGCCCUGCACCUGCUGUAAGUGCAUUGAAGGACAGAUCAUUCAGAAUCGAGGUAUAGUCCCAUCAUUAUUAUGCAUGGCCUGCUUUCUCCAAGGGCGUCUCCCCGAACUUGGGGUCAUCCCUGGGCCCGGUUGAGGGGGAGUGGAUAUGCCCUCCCACCUGUCACCAGCCUCUCCUGCUGUUCUCUGUGUGGGCGCACACUCUGGUGCUGACUCCCAGGGGUGCAGGCAGUUCUGCCGGAAUUGAGACGCCCUUCCCAGCUGGGUCCUGACUGAGGCAGGUGUCAGGUAAGCUCCAGGGUGGGCCUGUUGUCCAGGCCUGCAGCCUGAGAUCACCCCCAUGAUCAGUCUCCCUUGGUCCCAGCUGCACAAACAGAGGACCUGCAGCCACCCUGAAUGUUGGAUCUGGGGUCCCAACGCUGUGUGGGCAUCGCCAGCCGAUUCCCAAAGGGCUGCCUGCUGGGGUCAGGCAGCCAAAGACCCUCUGGUGGAACGGAGCCUGAGGCUCUUCUGUUGAAAGGAGCUAAGAGACGUGUAACCCAGCCCCAUUCGUUCAGUCAUUCAUUCAACACAUGUUUGUUAAGUACCUACCAUAUA